rnacentral:rRNA from 1 species
CGUAAUAGCUCACUGGUCGAGUCGGCCUGCGCGGAAGAUGUAACGGGGCUAAACCAUGCACCGAAGCUGCGGCAGCGACACUAUGUGUUGUUGGGUAGGGGAGCGUUCUGUAAGCCUGCGAAGGUGGCCUGUGAGGGUUGCUGGAGGUAUCAGAAGUGCGAAUGCUGACAUAAGUAACGAUAAAGCGGGUGAAAAGCCCGCUCGCCGGAAGACCAAGGGUUCCUGUCCAACGUUAAUCGGGGCAGGGUGAGUCGACCCCUAAGGCGAGGCCGAAAGGCGUAGUCGAUGGGAAACAGGUUAAUAUUCCUGUACUUGGUGUUACUGCGAAGGGGGGACGGAGAAGGCUAUGUUAGCCGGGCGACGGUUGUCCCGGUUUAAGCAUGUAGGCGGAGGUUCCAGGUAAAUCCGGUACCUUUUAACGCUGAGGUGUGAUGACGAGGCACUACGGUGCUGAAGUAACAAAUGCCCUGCUUCCAGGAAAAGCCUCUAAGCAUCAGGUAACAUUAAAUCGUACCCCAAACCGACACAGGUGGUCAGGUAGAGAAUACCAAGGCGCUUGAGAGAACUCGGGUGAAGGAACUAGGCAAAAUGGUGCCGUAACUUCGGGAGAAGGCACGCUGGUG